GUGCACACUAAAAGACCUAUAGCAAUCAGCGUGCGGUGAAUUGAUUUUUUUUUUUUUUGGCACUGCCCUAAAAAUAUAAUCCUAUUUCAUUGUUUAGAUUCAUUGAGAGGGGCAGGAUUUUUUCGAAAAGCGAAGUGAGAACAAUUCAGACGGGUCCUGGAGGUCUCUUUUUCACUGGUGAUGGAAUUGGAACGCUGGACGUUUGGAAGUUGACAGAAUCACAUGGAAGAGCUAUGGAAAUAGCAUGAUAUCUUUGUAACUACCUGUCUUGCAAAAUUUGGUCAUCCUGUUUGAGUUCUGUUGAUUUUUUUUUUGUAGAAAUUGUAGAACUACGUGGACCUGAUCCUUCAUUUUGUGAUGGAGGUACGUAGGCAGCCUUCGGGUGCGGUCCAAAUUAUGUAAUAACUAUUUUUUGUUUGUUUUAAAUUCUUUUUGUUUGUUUUUCAAUUCACAUUUGCAUUUCACUUGGCUUUUGGAUUUUUGUCAUUUGAGCAAUAUUGUGUAAUAAGGAAUUGAUGUUAUUGUCCUUAAGAAGUCAUCCUAUGACCCAUAUUCUUUAUUGUUAUCAAAUGUAAGAAUUCAUCUUAAGGCCCCAUAUUCUUAAUUCUAUUAUUCAUCCUCUCAUUUUCAAUGAAGUCAAUAUUGUUUUCAUUUUUUCCUUUGUUGAAUACUCCCAAUACCUACUCUUCAUUAUGAUUCAAAAGGAUCGUAUGUUAAAUUGUGCAGUAUAUCCUUUGCUGCAUUAAGAUAUUUUGGUAAUUUGAUUGAUUCCAUUCCAUCAAAAUGUUAUCACAUUACUCUUAUCUUUGUUAUUGCUCUUUUCUUAUACAUAAAUAUCAUUUUGCCCUUCUCAAUUUAGUUGGGAAAACGACACUUAAAAAAAAAAGAAAAUUGAAAUUGAGGAAAUCCCAAAUUCAAAUGUGGCAGCGUUGGUCAACUGGAAUUUUUCAGCAAGGGAGCAUUGUUGGGCAUCAUGAAUAAAUUGUGACCAAGAAGAAUAAAAAAUAAGAAAAUGGCAGCGUUUUAUGACGCUAACUCAGAAAAAUAAAUUAGCUUGGAAUGAGUGUAUGUAUAGAAAGUCAUCCUCAGCUAGCGAAAACGGUUUUGAAGGAGAGCGAUGAAGAGCCAGGGGUUGAGAAUGAGAAAGCAGAGUCCGCUGCUCUUCCUCCAUCUGAGGGGGUUCCUGAAACAACAGGUAAAGAAGAACCCGCUGCAGAUGGUCAUGACGCUGUUAAUACCCAACAGGCUUCUGUUGAGGAUUUGAAUACAGAUGAUGCUGAGAAGAAAGAGGAAUCGGAGAAACAUUCUGAGGAGGACGAGGAUCCCGUAACUGACACUCAAACUGCCUCACGCAAAAUGGAGGUUCCCAAUGAUAAGGUUGGGGUUCUUAUUGGAAAGGGUGGAGAUACUAUUCGUUACCUGCAGACUGCAGUAUAAUUCUGGGGCAAAAAUUCAAAUCACAAGGGAUGCUGAUGCUAAUCCUCAAUCCACAACAAGGCCAGUAGAAAUAAUAGGGACUUUAAGUAAUAUAAAGAAGGCUGAGAAGCUCAUUAAUGCUGUCAUAGCAGAGGCUGAUGCUUGUGGUUCCACCUCCCUUGUAGCUAGGGGCCUACCUAGUGCACAGACCGGUGUAGUGUGAGAACAACUUGAGAUGCAAGUUCCAAAUGAGAAGGUUGGUCUGAUCAUAGGCAGAGGUGGGGACGCCAUUAAAGCUCUCCAAGCCAAAUCGGGAGCGCGCAUUCAGUUGAUACCUCAACAUCUUCCAGAAGGGGAUGGUUCCAAAGAAAGGACAGUGAGAGUGACUGGUGAUAGAAAGCAAAUUGAGAUGGCUAGAGAAAUGAUAAAGGAUGUUAUGAAUCAGACUGUGAGGUCAUCACCUUACUCUGGCAGUUUCAACCAACAGCAUUCCUAUCGACCCCGUGGACCUACUGGUCCAUCAAAUUGGGGUCCACGAGGCCCUCAUUCAUCACAGCCAAAUCCUUACGAUUAUCAUCUCCGAGGACCUUAUCCUUCUCAAAGUUCACAGUAUCCACCUCCAAGUUAUGGUGGUUAUCCUCCCCAACAAAUGGGCCCCGAGGUAACUUUGGUUCUGGUUGGGAGCAAAGACCUCCCACCAUGCAGGGGCCAGUUCCGCAUGGUGGAGUUUAUGACUACGGUGUCCAGGGAGGCCAUGUAUCUGAUCACCCAGCGUCUGGCCCAAUUUCUACUCCUGUUUCUGGGCAUGCUCCUAGCCCGUCCCCUACCCCUGCCAUGUCCCAUUCCCCAUCACAGGCAAAUUAUAAUUAUGGGCAGCCACAUGGUCCAGAUUAUGGGCAUCAAGCUCCUUAUUCCCAGGCAGUACCUUCUCAGCAGGGCUAUGGGCAUGGAUAUGACGAACCAAAGUAUGACAAUCAUGCUCCAAUGCAGCAUCCUUAUGGACAUGGAAGUUCCCAACCAGUAUAUCCACAAGCCAGCAAUCAACCAGGCUAUAGGCGCAGCAGCAGUAUGGAAAGCAACCAUCAUGUGGCAUGCCAUUGCAGGGACCACCUCCCCAAUCAUAUGGCCCUCCUAGGCCUAGUCAACCUGGUGAUAUGCCAUAUCAAGGUCCCAUUCAAUCCAGUCAAUCAUAUGGUCCAAAUGUGCCACCUCAACAGCAGUAUCCUUAUGCAUCAAGUGGGCAAUCGUAUCCUUCAAAUGGAUCUGCAUCAGGUGCUGAGGGGAACAAUCAGGCAAUGCCUACUUCUGGCCCCGGCUAUCCACAGCAAGGUAGCCAGCCAGUUCCAUGUUAUCUCAGCCUGGUGGACAACAGUCAACUGGCUAUGUGCAAGGUCCAACCAGUGGUUAUGGAUUAUACCCAUCUUCGCAACAAUGUUAUCCAGAACAGCCAGCUUCAAACAAUGCAGGUUAUGGGUAUCAAGGGUCUCAAGAUCCUGCUUAUGGCAGUGGCCCUGGGGCAACCUAUAGUGCACCACCAAGUGGCCAGCAGGCUUAUGCUCAGCCAACAGCAACUCAACCAAGUUAUGAUCAGUCGGUUCCUCAGUCAGGUGCAUAUGGAGCUGCUCCAGGAAGUGCACCAGUUGGGUAUGGGAAAAACCUUGUCUCCCUAGCGCACUUACCCUCAAUAUGACUCAACUCUGAUAUAUGUUGCACCGCUCUGAGAAUUUAGUUAUAGCUUGAUGGCGAGUUUGUACUGCUGAUGCAUAUUGAGCUUUUGCAGUUAAGUAUUACAAAUAUGUUAUUAUCCGGGUAGUAUUAGCUUUAGAUAUUUGACUGUUAGGUCUUUUUCUGACUGCCAAUCGAACACCAAGAUUAUGUAUCUGCAUGAUGCUGACUGAGAAUGCAUCUAAGUUUCUUAUCA